rnacentral:rRNA from 1 species
CCUACGGGCGGCAGCAGUGGGGAAUAUUGGACAAUGGGCGCAACCCUGAUCCAGCCAUGCCGCGUGUGUGAAGAAGGCCCUCGGGUUGUAAAGCACUUUCAGUGAGGAAGAACGCCUGGUGGUUAAUACCCAUCAGGAAAGACAUCACUCACAGAAGAAGCACCGGCUAACUCCGUGCCAGCAGCCGCGGUAAUACGGAGGGUGCGAGCGUUAAUCGGAAUUACUGGGCGUAAAGCGCGCGUAGGUGGCUUGAUAAGCCGGUUGUGAAAGCCCCGGGCUCAACCUGGGAACGGCAUCCGGAACUGUCAAGCUAGAGUGCAGGAGAGGAAGGUAGAAUUCCCGGUGUAGCGGUGAAAUGCGUAGAGAUCGGGAGGAAUACCAGUGGCGAAGGCGGCCUUCUGGACUGACACUGACACUGAGGUGCGAAAGCGUGGGUAGCAAACAGGAUUAGAUACCCUUGUAGUC